GCGCCUACGGGAGGCAGCAGUGGGGAAUAUUGCACAAUGGGGGGAACCCUGAUGCAGCAAUGCCGCGUGGGUGAAGAAGCACUCCGGUGCGUAAAGCCCUGUCAGCAGGGAAGAAAAUGACAGUACCUGGACAAGAAGCCCCGGCUAACUACGUGCCAGCAGCCGCGGUAAUACGUAGGGGGCAAGCGUUAUCCGGAUUUAUUGGGUUUAAAGGGAGCGUAGGCCGGCUUUUAAGUCAGCUGUGAAAGUCCGCGGCUCAACCGUGGAAUUGCAGUUGAAACUGGAGGCCUUGAGUGCACACAGGG
rnacentral:rRNA from 1 species